GUAUAAUAGUUUUAACUUAUCCGUUGUAUCUAAUAGUUAAUGUUUUUAGAUUUUAAAGUCAGAACACGUUAGAGAUAAAAUUUAUUGAUGAAAUUUUAUGUUUUUAGUUUAACAGUUAUAGUUUAAAGUGUUUUAAUUAAAUUUAUUGUGUCACUAAAAACACAAGUAAAUUUCAUGGGAGACUUACAAUUUUUUUGGAAAGGAAUAGUCAACUAUGUGUUUCCUAAGAAUUCAAAUGUAGUGAGAGUAAGGAAGCCGGAAGAAGUCAAAACAAUGAACAAUGUAACCUUAUUGAAUUUUCGCAGGCGCAGUAGGUAGCUCUCCCCAAUCCCGUGCACCGAUUGGCGGAGAGCGUGAAGAAAGAGAAGCGACAGAGAACAGUCAAGAGACGAAGGAAAGCAGUCUUGAAGAGCUUGAUAAAACGGAUAGUCGGAAUUCGCAUUUUGGUCUGUACAGUAAACUCGGUUUGAAAUAAAGGGUGCAAUACGAAA